ACGAGAGGCCCCAGUUGAUGAACACGGCGUAAAGGGUGGUUAAGGUUUAACUAAAAUAAAGUCAAAAGACUUCUUGGCCGUCAUACGCCCCUGAACAUCUGAAGCCCAUAUACGAAGGUAACUUUAAUAUUAGCCCACCUGACCCCACGAAAACUGAGAAACAAACUGGGAUUAGAUACCCCACUAU
rnacentral:rRNA from 1 species